CCCCCAUGUCCGGUAUGGCAUCCACUUCACCGAUGUCGUACAAUUGGUCUUCAAUGGGGACAUUGUCUUCGGCAGGUCCAGCAGACUCACCAUGGUGGAUCCAAGUGGUAUAAUUUUGAACAAAACCCCUUCUUGUCAAAUGUUCCCUGAUGUCCUCAACAUUCUGGAACAUUUUGAUAUUUUUGCAAUCGGUGCAUGGACAAUGUAUUCCGGGUGCUUUAUUCAUUGAAGCAUGAUUUUUUGCCCUGUCUAUAAAAUUAGACAGUUGCCGAAAGAAUGUUGCAUCAUGUCGUCGGGUGUUGUACAUCCAUUCUCUGUCCAUCUGCCAUUACAAUUAGCAUACGAAAAUAAUUAAAAAUGGACAUGCUUUAAAAGUACGAGCUAAAAAUCAUCACUUAAUGAUAAUUAUGUAAAUAAUUAUUUAACAUUUAUGAGGUGAUGGUAACCAAAAUGAAUUAUUAAUGUGGCCUAAAUUUGAAAAUAAUGGUACCUUAAAAACAAUUAUGUAAAUAAUUAUUUAACAGUUAUGUGCAAAUGGUAACUCAAAUGAAUUAUUCAAUUCUAUAUUAGUAAUGUGUCCUAAAUUUGAAAAUAAUUGUACCUUAAAGGCAAUUAUGUAAUUAAUUAUUUAACAUUUAUGUAAAUAAUCCUCAAAUAUGACAAAUAAACCUAGAUCUAGGGUUCCAUUAGUUCUCAUCCUUAUUAAAUUGAAAAUUGACAAGGACACAUGAAAAUGAUGGAAUGAAAUGGUUAUAUGUCUCUAUUCCACCAUCUUUAACAUUGAUUGCCUCUACAUUAGUGCAAUUAAGGUGCAUUAAUUGUGGAUCUAGGCCUAGGGAGAUGUGGCACCUUAGAUUUGAAAUUAAGGAACAUUUGAUCACCAAAAUCAUAGGAAAAACAUAGCUAAAGCAUGUACAUACCUUGGCAAACCAAAUGCCUUGAGGAAUUUGAAAACAAAACCUCCCCCCCCCUAAUUUGCAUGAAAAUGGCGGCGCCACCGAGCUGCUCUGUUCAGAUAGCUCGGGCUGUUAGAACAGAGCAGCUUGGGGGCACUGUGCUGCCAGCGUUAUAUAGGAGCCCCUGUGCAGGGGUGGGAUGUAUUACGGACCGCCCCUGUAAACAAUCUACACGGGCGGUCCGUAGUACAGCCCACCCCUGAUCUUUGGACUACACGGGCGGUCUUUCCUGAUGACCGCCUGUGUAGAUCGUUUACAGGGGCGGUCAUAGCGGUUGCCCGCCCCUGUAGAGGGGCGCCCUAUAUACCAAGCGCUGUGGCUAAAAUUUCGCUAAGUCCCGGCGCGAACCCUACAGAGACACCGCCAGGCUACCAAAAUUUUGCCCUGGCGCUACAGUCCCGCCGCCGCCGCCACUUUGUUCCGAGCAGCCCCCGUCCUCUUCCGUUGCUCCUCGUCCUCCGCCGCUGCUCCCCUCCAACGACCCUUCCUCCGCCACUCCUCAUCCUCCGCCACUGGCCGUCCUCUCUGACCAUCCCUCCUAUGCUGCACUCGUCGUCCUCCUCCUCCGCUGCUCCCCUCCGACCACCCCUCCUCCGCCACUCCUAAUCCUCCUCAGCCGCCGCGUCGUGUUCGUGGCCCUCCUCCUCAUCCUCCGCUGCGGCCUUCUCGACGAGGUCGUCCUUGAUGCGGCAAGCUCAUCGCAGUGGUCCUCGCCCGUCUCCACUGCACACUCCUCCUCGUCGCCCUCCUCCACCGCGCGCUCCUCCUCUUCCUCCACCGCCGGUCCUCGUCCUCUCCGGCACCGACCCCUCCUCUACUGCUCCUCCUCAACCUCUCCUCCUCCACUAUUGGUAAGUGUUCUUCCUUUGAAUGAAUGGAUGGAUGGAUGGAUUAUUGGAUGAAUGAUGAAGGCUGUACAGAUUUUCCAACUAUGAAUUGAAUGAUGCCUUGCCUUGCUGCCAUAUAUGUAUCAAUUCAAUAUAAGCUAAAAUUUGAUGAAAUUUGAUCAAUUUUCAUGCCAUAUAUGUUUCAAUUCAAUUCUUGAUGAUAUUUGAUAAAUUUUCAUGCCAUAUAUGCUGCCAUGUAUGUUUGAAUUCAAUAUAUGCUGAAAUUUGAUAAAUUUUCAUGCCAUAUAUGCUGCCAUAUAUGUUUGAAUUCAAUAUAUGCUGAAUUUGAUAAAUUUUUAUGCCAUAUAUGCUCCUAUUCUUGCUUAAUUUAUUUGAAAAUGAUGAAGAUAUGCUGCCUUGCCUGCCUUGCAUUCUUGCUUGCUGCCUGGGUUGCGGCCUUGCUUGCUGCCUUGCGUGCUGCCUGCCUUGCUGCCUGCCUUGCUUGAUGCCCGCCUUGCUGCCUGCCUUGCUUGUUGCCUGCCUUGCUGCCUUCCUUACUGCCUGCCUUUCCUAUGACUUGCUAUUUUUUUCUAGUGUAUUCUUGCAACUCUUUUCUCUCUCUUUUGGCAAUGAUGAUUAUUACAUGAGCCCAUAAUGAAUUCAUAUUCUUGAUGAUGACUAUUUCUGUCAAUGGGAAUGUUGCCUUCCAACCUGGGGGCCAUGAUGUUGAACCUCUUCUAUGAAAUGGAUGCCAUAUGAGCUGAGCCUCUCCUCUUGCUCGAUGAUGAUUAUUUCCAAAAUAAGGCCAGACUUGCUAUUAUGAAUUUCUGCAUCUCGUUUCAUGUUGCCUUGCUUGCUGCCUUGCCUUGCCUUGCUUGGUGUCUUGUCUUGGUUGCUGCCUUGCGUUGCCUUGCUUGCUGCCUUGCUGUCUUCCUACGGUAAUUUCAUACUUUUUGAAUUGGAUGACAAGUUGGUUCGGCCUAUGAGAUGUGCUUUGGACUUAGUUAGGGGGCAGGACUCUUGCAUGUCCUGGGGCCAACUAAGAUAUAAUCUGAGAGCAACCUUUUGGCAAAUGAUGAUAUGGGAAAUAUAAAUCUAUUUUAAUCUCCCCAUUCUGAUGCCUUCUCACUUCGUAUUUGUUGAUAUUCCCUUAAUUGUUCCUUUUUCCAAUAUCUUGUCUUGCAUUUAUAUUACUGAAGUAUAUCUAAAUUAAAAAAGAAAGCUUGUCAGUGCUUUGCGAUGGAAGAUUCGGGAGUGCCUGCUUGGGACCCAUCACAGCCUCUGGAGCCACUCCCGUCGGGAGAUGACGGCUCUUCAUCGGAGCGGACCUCUUAUGAAGAGGAGGUCAGUGAUGUUGAGCCAUGUCCCAGGAGGCAACGGCGUACAGAAGAAGAAGACCCCAAUUUCGAACCGGUGCAGGAGAACCCCAGCCUUGGACGUCGAUCACGGCGUGCACCUCAAAGAGAGGUGGAAGACACGGCUGUGUCUGCACCACCGCCGAGCGUGUCGGCUCCAUCAAGGGAGAAAAAGCCGAGGGGCAAGAACGGUCGAAACAAGAUGCCCGAAGGCCAGUUCAUAGUGGAGACGAUGAACGCAAAAGGGGAGAUCACGUCGCCGAAGGAGACCAUCAAAAAAUUCCGCACAGCGUGCGGAUAUCUCGUACGGGAGCACGUGCCAAUCACAUUCAAGGAAUGGUCUUGGCCGUGUUUGGUUACCGGUCACAUAAACCUUGUAAUUUUUUACACAAAAAGACGAAUGCAUGCAUGGAGUACUAAA